rnacentral:tRNA from 1 species
GGAGGAGUGGCAGAGUGGUCUAAUGCACCUGUCUUGAAAACAGGAGUCUGGGCAACCGGACCGUGAGUUCAAAUCUCACCUCCUCCG